UGACGUCGCCGCGCCGCUGUGUCAACGAGACAGCUGCGCGCGGGAACGUCUGGUUCGACCAGGCUUACAAUGCGAAUCCAAACAAAGGGCUCAGCGACAAGAGCGCGCGCUGCGAGCCGGGUACC
rnacentral:SRP_RNA from 1 species